AUUGAACGCUGGCGGCAGGCCUAACACCUGCAAGUCGAGCGGAGCGGCGGACGGGUGAGUAAUGCCUAGGAAUCUGCCUGGUAGUGGGGGAUAACGUCCGGACACGGGCGCUAAUACCACAUACUAUCAGAUGAGCCUAGGUCGGAUUAGCUCGUUGGUGGGGUAAAGGCCGACCAUGGCGACGAACCGUAACUGGUCUGAGAGGAUAAUAAGUCAAACUGGAACUGGGACACGGUCAAGACUCCUACGGGAGGCAGCAGUGGGGAACAUGGGACAAUGGGUGAAAGCCUGAGCCAGCCAUGCCGCGUGUGUGAAGAAGGUUUUCGGAUUGUAAAGCACUUUAAGUUGGGAGGCGUUACCAAAAGAAUAAGCACCGGCUAACUUCGUGCCAGCAGCCGCGGUAAUAC
rnacentral:rRNA from 1 species